rnacentral:misc_RNA from 1 species
UCUGGUUUGUCACCGGCGGUCUCCUUAGAGUUCCCAACUUAAUGAUGGCAAAUAACGACAAGGGUUGCGCUCGUUGCGGGACUUAACCCAACACCUCACGGCACGAGCUGACGACGGCCAUGCAGCACCUGUGCACACGUCUCUUGCGAGGAAAUUACAUCUCUGUAAUCGUCAUGUGCAUGUCAAAUCCAGGUAAGGUUCUUCGCGUUGCAUCGAAUUAAACCACAUGCUCCACUGCUUGUGCGGGUCCCCGUCAAUUCUUUUGAGUUUCACCCUUGCGAGCGUACUCCCCAGGCGGUAUACUUAUCGCGUUAGCUUCGGCACAAUGGGGGUUGAGUCCCACUACGCCAAGUAUACAUAGUUUAAGGCAAGGACUAC